rnacentral:rRNA from 1 species
ACGGGAGGCAGCAGUGAGGAGUAUUGGUCAAUGGGCGAGAGCCUGAACCAGCCAAGUAGCGUGAGGGAUGACUGCCCUACGGGUUGUAAACCUCUUUUGUCCAGGAAUAAAAAAUCCCUCGCGCAGGGAUCUUGCAGGUACUGGUUGAAUAAGGACCGGCUAAUUCCGUGCCAGCAGCCGCGGUAAUACGGAAGGUCCGAGCGUUAUCCGGAUUCAUUGGGUUUAAAGGGUGCGCAGGCGGCCCGUUAAGUCAGCGGUGAAAUGUCGGGGCUCAAUCCGGGCACUGCCGUUGGAACUGGGGGGCUUGAGUACGGAUGAGGUCGGCGGAAUGUGACGUGUAGCGGUGAAAUGCAUAGAUAUGUCACAGAACACCGAUUGCGAAGGCAGCCGGCCAAUCCGCAACUGACGCUCAUGCACGAAAGCGUGGGGAUCGAACAGGAUUAGAUACCCUGGUA